rnacentral:rRNA from 1 species
UAGGGAAUCUUGCGCAAUGGGCGAAAGCCUGACGCAGCCAUGCCGCGUGAAUGAUGAAGGUCUUAGGAUUGUAAAAUUCUUUCACCGGGGAAGAUAAUGACGGUACCCGGAGAAGAAGCCCCGGCUAACUUCGUGCCAGCAGCCGCGGUAAUACGAAGGGGGGCCUAGCGUUGCUCGGAAUUACUGGGCGUAAACGGGCGCGUAGGCGGAUAUUUAAGUUGGGGGUGAAAGCCCGGGGGCUCAACCUCGGAAUAGCCUUCAAUACUGGAUAUCUUGAGUUCGGGAGAGGUGAGUGGAAUGCCGAGUGUAGAGGUGAAAUUCGUAGAUAUUCGGCGGAACACCAGUGGCGAAGGCGACUCACUGGCCCGAUACUGACGCUGAGGCGCGAAAGCGUGGGGGAAGCAAACAGGAUUAGAUACCCUGGUAGUCCACGCCGUAAAACGAUGAGUGCUAGUUGUCGGCAUGCAUGCAUGUCGGUGACGCAGCUAACGCAUUAAGCACUCCGCCUGGGGAGUACGGUCGCAAGAUUAAAACUCAAAUGAAUUGACGGGGGUCAUAGCUGUUUCCUG